AGUGAACGCUGGCGGUAGGCCUAACACAUGCAAGUCGAACGGCAGCACAGUAAGAGCUUGCUCUUACGGGUGGCGAGUGGCGGACGGGUGAGGAAUACAUCGGAAUCUACUUUUUCGUGGGGGAUAACGUAGGGAAACUUACGCUAAUACCGCAUACGACCUACGGGUGAAAGCAGGGGAUCUUCGGACCUUGCGCGAUUGAAUGAGCCGACGUCGGAUUAGCUAGUUGGCGGGGUAAAGGCCCACCAAGGCGACGAUCCGUAGCUGGUCUGAGAGGAUGAUCAGCCACACUGGAACUGAGACACGGUCCAGACUCCUACGGGAGGCAGCAGUGGGGAAUAUUGGACAAUGGGCGCAAGCCUGAUCCAGCCAUACCGCGUGGGUGAAGAAGGCCUUCGGGUUGUAAAGCCCUUUUGUUGGGAAAGAAAAGCAGCAGGUUAAUACCCCGCUGUUCUGACGGUACCCAAAGAGUAAGCACCGGCUAACUUCGUG
rnacentral:rRNA from 1 species